rnacentral:tRNA from 1 species
GCCGAUGUAGCUCAGCAGGCAGAGCAGCAGUUUUGUAAACUGCGGGUCGGAGGUUCGAUUCCUCUCAUCGGCU